CAUGAUUCUCCCUCGAAUAUAACCACAGUGUCAUCAGCGAAACCUAUAAACUGUCCCUCACCUCUCAUCUCCAGUAGACUAUUUAUGUAUAUGAGAAAGAGAAGUGGUCCAAGAACCGUGCCCUGUGGAACUCCAAAAAUCUAGGCCCAAAAUGACAGGAUAAUGAUCUGUUACGAGAUGCUGCAGAAUGUCAGCAUCAGCAUCGUCACCUCCGGGGCUAAAACCUCUCACAAAAAAAUGAUCGAGACAAGUUCCGCUGUCUGGACGCGUUGGAAGAUUUAUCAUAGAGGCGAACCCAUAUGAGGAUAAAAUGUUCUUAUAUUCCUCUACUAAAUUGUCAUGACUGAGUAUUUCCUUAUCUCAAUGUUGAACGACUCUAAAGCUGUCCCUGGCGACCGAUAUAUGGCGGACAGUUUGAAGUUUUCUCCAUUCGAUGUUUUUAUAUCAAUAUCUAAUAAGUUAGAGUAAUCAAUUUUGAUUAUUUGGCAUUUAUAAUUAAUGUUUUCUUUGAUAUAUACUAAUACACCGUCAUUUUUGUAAAAUUUUCCUUCAUUAUAAACAAUAUUAUA